GACGAACGCUGGCGGCGUGCUUAACACAUGCAAGUCGAACGGAAAGGCCCUGCUUUUGUGGGGUGCUCGAGUGGCGAACGGGUGAGUAACACGUGAGUAACCUGCCCUUGAAUUUGGGAUAACUUCAGGAAACUGGGGCUAAUACCGGAUAGGAGCUCCUGCUGCAUGGUGGGGGUUGGAAAGUUUCGGCGGUGGGGGAUGGACUCUCGGCUUAUCAGCUUGUUGGUGGGGUAGUGGCUUACCAAGGCUUUGACGGGUAGCCGGCCUGAGAGGGUGACCGGCCACAUUGCUCCUGAGAUACGGCCCAGACUCCUACGGGAGGCAGCAGUGGGGAAUAUUGCACAAUGGGCGGAAGCCUGAUGCAGCAACGCCGCGUGCGGGAUGCCGGCCUUCGGGUUGUAAACCGCUUUCGCCUGUGACGAAGCGUGAGUGACGGUAAUGGGUAAAGAAGCACCGGCUAACUACGUG
rnacentral:rRNA from 1 species